CUUACCUGGCCUUGACAUCCACGGAAUUCGGCAGAGAUGCCUUAGUGCCUUCGGGAACCGUGAGACAGGUGCUGCAUGGCUGUCGUCAGCUCGUGUUGUGAAAUGUUGGGUUAAGUCCCGCAACGAGCGCAACCCUUAUCCUUUGUUGCCAGCGAGUAAUGUCGGGAACUCAAAGGAGACUGCCGGUGACAAACCGGAGGAAGGUGGGGAUGACGUCAAGUCAUCAUGGCCCUUACGGCCAGGGCUACACACGUGCUACAAUGGCGCAUACAAAGAGAAGCGAACUCGCGAGAGCAAGCGGACCUCACAAAGUGCGUCGUAGUCCGGAUCGGAGUCUGCAACUCGACUCCGUGAAGUCGGAAUCGCUAGUAAUCGUAGAUCAGAAUGCUA
rnacentral:rRNA from 1 species